AGAUGUGAGGGCAAUCUGGCUGCGACGUCUGUCACCCAGCUGGUCGCCAGGGUUGAUUCUACUGAUCUGGCUGGCUAGGCGGGUGUCCCCUUCCUCCCUCACCGCGCCACAUGCGUCCCUCCGGAAGCUGCGCACUCGGUCGAACAGGACGACCAUCCCCGGUAUUACGAGGAUCGUUCGUCUCGGUCAAGGGUAUACCAGUAGCUGCGCUCCAAUGCUAGACCCUCUAAACAAGCUCUCAAGACAUGCGUGCCUGGUUCUCAGAAGCCAGUGACUUCUGUCACUGAAAACAGUACAAAUUGCAGCCGACCUUAGCUCUGCAGUU
rnacentral:snRNA from 1 species